UGCAAGUCGAGCGGACUUGAUGGAGUGCUUGCACUCCUGAUGGUUAGCGGCGGACUUGUGAGUAACACGUAGGCAACCUGCCCUCAAGACUGGGAUAACUACCGGAAACGGUAGCUAAUACCGGAUAAUUUAUUACAUAGCAUUAUGUGAUAAUGAA
rnacentral:rRNA from 1 species